CACAAUAAAUGAAUCUCAAAUUAAUAAUUUUACUGCAAAUUAGGAAGUACAAUCAACCCAGCAUAAGAAUCCAAAACUUUAAACCACCACAAUUUCCUCACCUUAUCUGCUACAAGCAUAGCAUGAAGAUGAACAAAAGCAGGUGAGGCAUCACCCAUAACAACCUCUCUUAGACAGAUUCUGCAGCUACUCAUAUCAGUCAUAUAUACAUGCACAAGUGCGUGGGUACGUAAACACAAAGAGAGAGAGAGAGAGGGCAAAUUAUCCUGAGUUAGAAAUUAUCAUGCUUCCCCAUUAUUUCGAGCUGUUUUUUUUUUAUGGGAGAGAGUUGAACACAACAAUACUCAGAGGAGGGUUUGCGAAGAAGAUGAAGAAAUAGAUUUAUGAAUGAGAGGGAGGGAGGAGGUUUUUUUGCAGAGUGUUGCACCAGUUUGUGCAGUAAUCUUUGAAGGUAAGUGUUUGCGAUUUCUUACGGGAGAAAAAAGAAGCAAAGGAUCUUGGCAUCUUUGAAGAAGAUGAUGAUUUGAGCUUGAUGUGCUUUGAAGAAGAUGAUGAUUUGAGAUGAUGAUUUGAGCUUGAUGUGAGCAAAUUUGUUGUUUCUUCAUAAGCAGCCAGAGAAAAGGAU
rnacentral:lncRNA from 1 species